UUCUUCCUUGACAAGCUCUAUUCAAAAUUGAAUUCCAGCCAAACUCUCGACCAUUGUAGCUGAGCUCCCGAGAUUCCAAAAUUGGGACGCCACCACCACCACCACCACCACUUCUUCCUCCCUCCAGCACGGCAGCGCCUCGAGCUCGACCAUUGCUUAGCGCCGCUGAGCUACCCGCCGACAAUCCUGUGCGAAGCUUGUGACGAAGAACGCCGAAAGAAGUUCAAAAAGGCGAACUCUCGACCUCUGCCUCUAUUACUCUCUCUCUCUCUCUCUCUAUUAUUUUCUCACUCGGCUGGGAGAAGCGCCUUGACCUGAAGUCAGGAAAAGUGUUCUACAGAGAUGCAAUUCCUCGAACUCAUCAUCAACAACAGAAAACAAACCUCAACAGAGCAAGGCAGACCAAGUUACCAGACCUCAACUUCCCACCGUCAUCAAAGAAGCAGACGCUAAACCUCUUCGAAGACAAGGUGCUGGACUUGAAGUUCGUUUGGAGCAUCAUCAUUGUGCUGCUUCUUCUAUCAUGGUUCACUACGUUGGCAAUGGAUGAUCCAAGAAAGAAUGCUAUACACGCUCACAAGAACUGUGUGGAAUGGGCACCCAAUGUGUAUUUUGAAGAAGAUAUAUUGUCAACCUUGAAAAUAAGUUGUCUAGAAGUCGAAGAAUAUGUUGUUGUUGUGGCAUCAAUAGAGCUGCUCUCGGGAGUUAUGACAAGAGUUGUGGCAAGAGCUUUCAUGUUCCUUGUGCUAGGUUGACUCCAUAAUGCCUGUGGGAUUAUGAAAACUUUGUUAUGCUAUGUCCGAUUCAUAAAGCAUCUCAACUGCCAAAUGAUACGCCUCAAUUUGAAUCAACGAAGAAUAGUAAAUCUUCUGCUGAAAGAAAAUCUUAUAUCCAUCAAGAUAAAGUGAAAACCAUUAUAUCUAAUAACUUGACAGGUACGUCGGAUAUACUCGCUUCCCCGACAAAUCUAAUCCUUUCUACUAAUCAGUCGACUGGUAGCAAACCAGAGGAACUUGGAAACCUCACUUCCCUCAUAAAUUUACAGCUUGGUGCAAAUCACUUGAUAAUUUGUUAUUUGGCAUUAUCCCAUCUGUCUUCUCCUUCGACAACGAUGUAGGAGGCACUAGUUGGGUUGGGCUAUCCUGUUGGCUAUUCCAGUGGUUACUGGAAUUAUUGCCACCAGGUUCACACAUCGGUAGUUAUGAUACAUCGGAGAGAGAUUUAAAUGGUGCACACCUGAAGUCCUCAUAAUUGGUAUAGCCUCAAUUUUGUAUUUGUCAAUAUAUUGGUGAGUUGGCUAUUAUUUUAUCAGGGUGGUUUUCUUUGUUUUUCUUUGGUUUUCUUAAAUGAUUAUGUGUUGUACCUGUCCAAGAUUUGCAUUGUUUACUAGGUGCAUCAAUUAUGAUCUCUUGGAAGAAAUUAUUUUUUAUUCAAUUUGUAAGAGUAAAUUAAUUGGGAAUAACUAGCUACAUUGCUUAGAUAUGGUGUGUAAGAAGUACUACAUGGUCAUCCAUGGCUUUAACUGCAGCUUUAUGACAAAGGACAAUUUCUACCUUGCAUCCCUCUUUGUUGAAUGUAUGUAUCAUGGGAUGGAAUCUGAAAAAAAAAGAAUAAUGUUGAGUUUUAUGAUCUGUUGCAGUUAGAAUUAGCUAGUUGUUUAGAGCUGAUGUUAUUUUAGUUACUGAUACUAGUAUUAUAUUAACUUGAAUGCUCAUGCCCCGACCGGCUUAGAUCCUUCUGUGCGAGCUGAAAUACGAGAGCAAUUGCGCCAAGAAUUGUGGGAAGAAUUACGACAAGAAAUGAGUCAGGAACUUGAUGCUGAUCGUGAGCAAAGAACAAAGUUGGAAAAUGAUGAUGCGAUGAUGCAAGAGAUGAUGAAGCAGUUCAUGACGACGUUCCACCAGUCCAGCAACACUCCUGACGGUUCUGUGGGGAUAUGAACCAUGUAUCACAAACUUGAUACGUUGUCUUUUCUUUUGAACAUCAUACAUUUCAUACUUUUGUGGCUUGUUUUAACUACUAACAUUUAUACUUAUUCAUCAUAAUUUUGAAUUUAA